GGGGCAGGCGGCAGCCUACACAUGCAGUCGAACGGUAGCACAGAGAGCUUGCUCUCGGGUGACGAGUGGCGGACGGGUGAUUAAUGUCAGGGAGACUGCCUGAUGGAGGGGGAUAACUACUGGAAACGGUAACUAAUACCGCAUAAUGUCGCAAGACCAAAGAGGGGGACCUUCCGGCCUCUUGCCAUCAGAUGUGCCCAGAUGGAAUUAGCUAGUAGGUGGGGUAACGGCUCACCUAAGCAACCAUCCCUAGCUGGUCAGAAAGGAUGACCACCCACACUGGAACUGACACACGGUCCACACUCCUACGGGAGGCAUCAGUGGGGAAUAUUGCAGAAUGGGCGCAAGCCUGAUGCAUCCAUGCCGCGUGUAUGAAGAAUGCCUUCUGGUUGUAAAGUA
rnacentral:rRNA from 1 species